GGGUUAGUAGGUUGGUCAUGCCUCUGGUAUGUACUGGUCUCACUGAUUCCUCAUUCAUGAUGAACCUUAAUGCAAUUAAUUUGGUGUUUUGGGGAAUUUGGACUGUUACUUUGAAAAAAUUAGAGUGUUUAAAGCAAGCUAACGCUUGAAUACAUUAGCAUGGAAUAAUGAAAUAGGAAGUUCGAUCCUAUUUUGUUGGUUUCUAGGAUUGACGUA
rnacentral:rRNA from 1 species